CCCCAAGUGUUUGCGCAGCUAAAGGCAACCCAUUGCACUUGCGUGCAAUUUUCUUGCCGAUUUCUUCCAAGCUUGGAUCUGAACUAGAGAUUACAUUUGCAUGUUUUGCAAGUAAGAACCAACAAUCUUCAUGCGACAAUGGUUUCAAGGUGUGAAUAGGAACAUUUUGCAUGAAAGAUGCUAUAUUUUUGUUCCGUGUUGUUACGAGGACUUUACUUCCCCUCGCCCCUGAAGUAAAAGGAGUUUGGAGGUAGUUCCAAUCAGUAUAUUUCUCAUUCCAAAGGUCAUCCAAUACAAACAAAAAUUUCUUCCCCCUCAGUUCUUCACUUAGCUCAACUUGAAGCAAAUUCAGAUCUGUCUUUUUACAAGGUUUUGAAGUCACUGACUCGAGAAGAGUUUUAGUUACCCUGAUAGCAUCAUAAUCUUCUGAAACACAAGCCCAAGCCUUAAGGGUAAAAUGCUCUUUCACCUUAUUGUCAUUGUAAAGCAUUCGAGCAAGGGUUGUCUUGCCAACCCCACCCAUUCCAACAAUGGGGAUGACAGACACAUUUUCCUCGCUUGCAUCAUCGAAUAACACUUCUAAUAAAUUUUGUUUGGCUUCAUCUCUCCCAUAUACACAAGGUUCAUGAACCAAGGAAGUUGUUGGAGUUCUUUGUGAAACCUUUCUCCCAACAUCUUCUCUCAGACCGAGAGCAACUUUCUGUUGUACAAAAUGUUCUAAUCUUUGUAACAACUCUUGUAUCUUAGCAUUCAUCCUUCGAUAAAAUUUAUUACGAGAAGUGGGGAGGAAGGUAGACAUCUUACUUGUGAAAUUGCCGUUUUGAGCAUCACCUUCCAGCUUGCGUCGCAAAGCUUCAUAGUUGAUCUCAUCCAGCAAGUCCUCGGCAUCAAAGACAGCAUGUUUGAGCUCGUCAAGCCACUCUCUCACAUUUGGUUUCUCAAUUUGCUUCUCCUCUGCAUCAUCGAGCACUGCGUUCAAGGUCAACAGCGUCGUCUUCAGUUCCAUGAGGAGAGGUUGAUCCAGUUUCUUGUGCCGAAAUAAGUCGACGAACUCGGGUGAAGCAAUUCUGUCACAAAUCACCUGGAUGGAAGCAGAAAUAAAGGCCCCUCCGAUCAAAGCUCCAGCCAUUUUUCUCUUCUUUUCCUGGGCAAGGGAGUUGGAUGAAAGUAACUUGGAAAUACAGGUAAGGCAGUAUGAAAGCUUUUUAUGUAUUUAUCUAAGUUCCGUUGGGUGGCUGUGAGUGUUUGAGUUUGUUAGCCUAAGUGAUCAUAAUUAACUUCUAAUUAGCGUGUAAUAUUAUUAACUUUUAAAAAAUCUCUCACUUUAUUCUCUGGGGGGAAAACUUCUAAAACUUUUCUGUAGCCUCACAUGGGGAUGGGGUCGUCCUCGUCACCACCAAUCUGUACAUGCAAAGUCGGCCAUUGACGUGGGUAAUGAAUGAUGCUUUCACAUGUGAAAGCAGUCAUGUCUCAUUUUCUUCUUCGAAAAAGUAAAAACAAAAAUAGAAAAAUUCAGAUAAGAAAUUCACUAAUUUAUAAAGAAAUCGAUUCAUUGUGUUGGUAGGUGGGACCAACACAGCCUGGUUUGGCCUGUUGAAGGAUGACAUUGACAAGACAACAACAAUAAUUCUACUGCCCGCAAGUGGAAGGAUGCGUCAGACUCCAAUGCCAUUGAUUGAUGUCUUUGCCAUUGCCAAUCUACGCCCUUCACAAAUUUAAAAACGUACGGUAAGGGGUUAAGAGAAGAAAAUUAAGAAAGCGAACAAAAUCAAGUCAGCUAAUCAAAGACCAGAUCGGACAAGGCAUAUUUUAUAAAUCAUAUGAAGACAAUUGAGAAAAUUCAUAGAAUGUGAAAAUUGUUAUAAAAGUUGUUUGUUGAUGAUUGUUAUAAAAAUCAUAGAAAUUAAUUCAUAUUUGAAAAUUUUGAGAAUUAAAAAUAAUAAUAAAAAGAGCAUCAUAUCCUUUCAAUAAUUGGACCCACACGGCUUAAGGGACACUUUUUCUCCUGCUUUGGACUGUUGGAACUUGGAGUGGAGGAUGACUAGACAAGACAAGACAACAACAACACGCACCAGACCCCAAUGCCGUUGAUCUCUUUGUAAAUCUAUGGCUCUUACCAGAUUUCAAAAUGUAAAGUAGAAGAAGAAAAGUAAGCUAUUCAAAAGCAUAUUUCAAAUAUCAUAUAUAAAAAGUAAAUUGGGAAAAAUCAUGGAAUGUGACAUUGUUGAUAAAAGUUGUUUGUGUAACAUUAGAAAGUUGUUAGAGCACUUUCAUCAGUUGACUCUUAUCAUGGCAAGAUUAGUUCUAGGGCAGGCACUAUUCAUGUGAAUAGUAGCUGCUCUAACCCCAUCCAGUAAAAUGUGUUUCCAGCAGUUGGGGCUUGCCAUGGCAAUUACUAUUCAUUUUUUUGUUUUUUUCACAAUUUUGUUUACUUAAACAAUUAAUUUGGAUAAUAUUUUCGGAUAAGAUUUUUGGGUUCCUACGUGUCAAUACUAUUCAUAUCGGAUAAGAUUUUCGGUUUCAAAUUUCAGAUAAAUUCAAAAUGUCGAAUUUCAGAUACAUUUCGGAAUUCAAAUUUCAGAUAAAUUUGAAAUUUGAAAUUUCAUUUGAAUUUCAAAUUUCAGAUAAGAUUUUCACCCUCUAAGAUUGCGCCGCGUGUCAUAUCUAUCUGUGUACAUUUUUCUAUAAAAUCAGAGGUUCAGCUCAUACCAUCCACACCAGUUCUUCUCUACAUUUCCAUUUCUCAAAUUUUAGAUUUCAUUCUCCAUUUUCAAUGGCAGACAUGGAAGAGGUUUUGGAGAGGCAAGAGCGAGAAACUAGAGAAAGAAUGCGUAGACGAGCUGCAAGCAAAAGGGCGCAGAGAGAACUAGAUGAGCAACUUGGCAUAGCAGUUGCUUUGCUGGAGGAAGAAAAGCAGGCUCGCCGUGGUUCACGAGAAGGUCGUCGCCCAAAUGUGGACAGACAUAGACAUUCCCGGGGUAAGAAUCUUAUGGAAGAUUAUUUUAUCCCACAAUCUCUGUACUCUGAUGUUCAUUUUCGAGGGAGAUAUAGAAUGCAACCCCAUUUGUUCAAUAAAAUCAUGCAUGAUAUUUGCAAUUAUGAUGAAUAUUUUGUUCAAAAGAGAAAUUGUGCUGGAAAUUUGGGACUUCUUCCAGAGCAGAAGUUCACAGCUGUGAUACGAAUGUUGGCGUAUGGGUCAUCUGCUGAUCAGGUGGAUGAGAUUGCUCGGAUGGGGAAGUCCACUAUUUUGGAGAGCUUGGUGCAGUUUUGUGAUGCAGUGGAAACUCUGUACACCAGAGACUACCUCCGCAGACCUACGCCCAGGGACCUGCAAAGGCUUCUCCAAAAAGCUGAGUCUCGAGGAUUCCCUGGCAUGAUUGGUAGCAUUGACUGCAUGCACUGGCAGUGAAAAAAUUGUCCAACUGCUUGGCAAGGGGACUACGGAAAUAGAAAAGGGCAGAAAAGUAUCAUCCUGGAAGCAGUUGCUGGUUUUGAUACAUGGGUUUGGCACGCCUUCUUCGGAGUUGCCGGAUCUCAAAACGAUUUGAAUGUCCUAGGUCAAUCCCCGGUGUUCAAUGAUGUUUUGAGAGGUGAAGCCCAAAAUAUCACAUAUGAAAUUAACAAUACCAUCUACCAGACCGGGUAUUAUCUAGCUAAUGGCAUAUACCCGAGGUAGACAACAUUUGUGAAAACAAUUCCACAUCCCCGAUCCCAUAAGGAAAAUUUUUUUGCUCGCUAUCAAGAGGGGUACAGAAAAGAUGUUGAGAGGUGCUUUGGUAUCCUUCAAGCUCGGUGGGCUAUUAUCAGGGGCGCGGCACGUCUAUUUGACGAGGAGGUGCUUAGGAGUAUAAUGAUGACUUGUAUCAUCCUCCAUAACAUGAUUGUGGAAGAUGAAUAUGAUUACGAUGCUGAUGACGUGUAUGAACCAAAUCCCAUGGACACGGCCCUAACACGAAUUUAUGAAAAACCAGUGGGGCCAAAUGGAGAAGCAGUGCAGCAUGAACUGUUGGUUAGAGACGGUAGUUUCAUGCCUCGUAUGAUUGAUCGCUACACGGAGAUGCAAUCGUCGUAUAUUCAUGAACACCGUCAAGUUGACUUGAUGGAGCAUUUAUGGGCGGUGAAAGGCAAUGAAGGAAAUGAAGGUGAAUAAAGUGAAGUGAAGAAGUUGUUUUUAUUUUAUUAUGUUUAUGUUGUAUGUUGUUUAUUUUUUGUUGUGAGUGGGUUGUUUAUGUUUUAUGCUUUGGUUGUGGGUUGUUUAUGUUUUAUGCUUUGGUUGUGGGUUGUUUAUUUUUUAUGCUUUGGUUGUGGUUUGUUUUUUAUGUAUGGAAUGUUUUGAAUAAAAAGGAUUUUUGUUGAAUAUUUUCUUUAUUGACUAAAAGAAAAGCAAUACAACUAAUAAUAAAAUAAAAUACAUGAAUUAAACAAAACAAAAAAUACAAUGAAAUGAAAGGUACAUGAAUUAAAGAAAACAAAAAAUACAAUGAAAUCAAAGGUACAUGAAUUAAAGAAAACAAAAAAUACAAUGAAAUCAAAGGCAAGUAAACUACGACAUGAAAGGCAAACAAACUAUUUUAAUGGUUUCCAUCAUUUAACCAAUCCGUGUUGCUAGGUCCAUCGUCACGAAAAAGUCUUCGUCUCAUAAUAUCCCUUCGUUCUAGCUUCCAAUAUUGUUUUGUUUCAGGGGACAUAUGGCUUGUAUCCAUGACCAUGGUUUCCCGAUCUUUUUUUUCAAUGUUUUGUUCGCGUACAUACUCCCUUUCUUUGCGUACAUACUCCCUUUCUUUUGCAUAUUCUACUUGAAUAGCCAUAUCGUGCUCUUGUUGUUUCAAGUCCAUUUCAAUUCUCAUGGCUUGGUGCUUUGAAAGUUCCUCCAAAAAUUGAGAUGCAUUCUUGCUAGAAUUACUCCCUCUCUUCGCCUUCGCCGCCUUCCUCCCAAUAGGCCUUGGCUCAUUUUCAAUGGGUGAGUCUAGAUUCAUCGGGGAAUCCAUAGGUGAAUCCGAUGCAGGCGUCUCACGAAGUGGAGUCUCGUUCAAGACUACCGUCGGACCGGUUGGAAUAAUUUGGAAUCUCUUACAAGUCUUCACCACCUCCCAACAAUGGGUAUGGUUGAAACUUUUUUUUCCUUGGCCAGUAGCACCAAACCACAUUUGUGCUUGUAUAAUCUAUAAAAAAAUGAAAUGGAAAUGCAAGAGAAUUUUUAAAAUAUUGGCAAUGCAACAUGUAAAAAAAAACUAAUGGAAAUUAAAGAAAUAAUAAAAAAAUACAACAUGUAUUAAAAAAAACUAGAGACAUAUUAACAAAAUAUAUAAAUUGCAAGAAACAUUUAAAUAAAAAUUAAUAUGACAUAGAAAUUAAUAGAAGAAAAAUGACAAAUAAUUUACCUCACUGCUAAGAUUUUCUCCACUUCGAUGGUUGUCAAUCGCUUUUGUUAAGGCAUUUCUCCUUUUCCCCAACUCUUUAUUAAGAACUUUCCACCUACUGGAUAAUGCCAUUUCUGUACGUGUAGAACCAAUUGCCCUUUCACAAAAUGCUUGAUGAAUUUUUUUCCACAUAUGAGAAAAUUUAAUCUCAUUGCCCGUUACGGGACAAUGACUAACUUGGACCCAAGCCUCACACAAGCUAACAUCUUCCAUCAUGCUCCAUGCCCCUCCAUUUUCAUUAGAAGAACCCAUAAUAUGCUAGAAAAAAAUUACAACUUCAAAGUGAAAAAAUAUUGAAUAGAAAGUGAAUAAAAUUUGAGGAGAAAGUGAACAAUAGUAGAAGGAGAAGAAAAUAUAUGAGGAGUUGGUGUUAAAAGUGAAGAGUAUUGGUUGGUAUUUAUACACAAAAAAUUUUGUAAUUUUUGUGUUUUUUUUUUUUGAAAAAUUCGAUUUUUUUUGGCAGAAAAAUUGGCUGCCGUUGGAUUGAAGAAAAAGUUCUAAUCGGAGCGACCAGAGGCCGCCACGUGUCAAAGAGCCGUUGGCGGCACUGUAGCGCUGAUUUGAAAUUUUUUUUAACGUUGGCGCGUGCAAUGCACGCGCCAACGGUAAAAAAAAAUUCAAAACUUCAGGGCUGACGCCAUGCUGGCGUCAGCUAUUUUGUCCCAGACUUCGGGCCCGAGGUCGGGCCGAAUUCGCCUUCGGGCCUGCCCGUUUUGAUGGCCCCCACUCUCGCCCGGGCUGAACUUUUGCUGCUGGACUUCGUUUUUUGCCCCAAACCCCCCCCAGUCCGAGUUUUCCAGCCCUGCUGGAAAUGCUCUUAGUGCAUCCACUGUUGGAGAAUCUUGGUUGUGGACGCUCUCCUUUGAUCACCAACAGUAGAUUGAGGCGUAUAAGUUAUUGUUUUUAAAAAUAGAUCCACCCUUUUGAGAUAAUAUCUCGAUGUAGUAGGUUAUGACGUCUUACCUUUUAGAAUACAACAAAUUUUGAUCCUUGUAAAUAUACACUCGCAAUAUUUAAAUCAGAUGAACAUUUGAAUCUUUCCCUUGAGAAAUAAAAUAAAAUUAACACAAUACAAAACUGUAUGAAAAUUGUGAGGAAAGGAAAUAAUGUGGGAGGACAGAACUUGAGAGAAAAAAAUGCUCGAAUUAAGAUAUCUGUUCAGCCAAAAUAGCCAAAGCUAUAUAUAGAAGUUGCUGACCCCAAAGAGACGUUGGUCAUUAAAGAUAAAAUUUUGCCGUUUGAUGAAUAAUGGUGGCACAGUUUAGAAAUUGAAUACUGAUACCAAUAGACCAAUUAAAUAUAUAUAAACACAAAUGGUUAUGUAAUCAAGACCUUCAGCAAAUCAAAGUGAUCAUAUAAGCAAAAGCUUUUCCUGUAGGAAUCAAAUAAAUUGAAGGCAAAGUGUACGUUAAAACCAAAGUCAGCCAACAGAAUUUAAUGCCCAGAAUAAACAAACAAGUAAAUGAUAUUUGAGUGGGUCUACAGUAAUUUUCACAAUUAAACCAAUUAAACGUUAUCAGCAAUCAGAAUAAGAUUCAAAUUGAAGAAAGCAAUUAAAUCAAAUCAACUAAAUGUUCAUCCGUUUUACAUUUGUUCAUGCGAUGGUAUGGUAAAGUUCCCUAUUAUCUCGAAAAUUAUUGACUGAUUAAUAAGUCAACUUUCUUUAGUGUGCAAGCGUGCCACUACCAACAAUGAAAAUCCUAAUAGACUUCUUAAAAAUAGAUAACUUGCGCCCCAAGUUACAAGCGAUUGUGAAUUUGGGUGAGGAAUAUCUCUCAAGUAAGUUCUUUUCUUGCCUCAGACGAGUGAGGACUUCACGUUUUUUCACAGUACAAAACUGGUAGCUCUGGCCAAAAUAAAUUAUAAGAAAGUGAACUGUUUUAGGCAGAACUACCUUUUACAAAGCUCAAAAAGGAAAGCCAACUCUAAAAAAGACAAAAGGAGGGCUGGACUUCCAUUUCUGCCUGGAUAGAUGCUUCUGAUCCGGGCUAGACUGGGUAUGUCUGUACUGGACUGGGACUAUCAACACCUUCAACUAUCAAGUUUCAGCUGUAAGGAAUUUGAGAUAUGUUAACCCAAUCUUUUCCCGUCUUAUUAUCAUACCUUUUCUCUAGGCCAGAACAUUUGUAGAUCAGAAGUAAAGAAAGAGAUGGCUGCAAACCCUCUUUUAGCAUGAAUUGGAGAUUGUCACACCAACUAAUAUAAAUCCUUUGAAGAGAAGUGAGGUGUUGAAGUUGCAGAAAUUCGAGAGUAGGACAGCUUUCCAUUCGUAGGUGUUGGAGAGAAGUGAGGUUUCCCUUUCUGUUCAAAGAUUUCAGACUUGUAAUUUCGUUGAUGCGUUGAGUGUGAAGAGUGGUAGGAAGCAGCUGUUGCUUGAGCAACGUCUCCAAGAUAUUGUCACUUCCCCUGCCACCAAUUGUAAAGUUUUUAGAACUACAAGAGCAAAACAUAUCCAAUUCCUAGAUGUUGGAAUAAAACAAAUUUGGCACCAGGAAAUAUGUCGAUCGACUAUUUAUAAAUUAUUCUGCAAGUUUAAUUGUGAGAGAUUUCAAAUUUCUCUGUCAUUAAAAAGUUAUGAUGGUGAGGGAGGCAAAAGAAUGGAAGGAAAAUAAAUAUUAGAAUGUACACCUCCAGAUCUUCUGCUAAUGGAUCUAAUUGUAACUUUCCAUUUGUGAACCGAUUUUUGUGAUCAGAACUACAAGAGCAAAGCAUAUCUACACACGCUUCAAGCUGGUAACAGAAUGAAGAAGAUGAGAAAGCCACCUAUGCCAAUGGGGACGGAAGUAAGGAUGCAAGUUUGUGCCAUGCCACCUAUGUCAAAAGUAGGCUUCUGCAGUUGAAAAUAACCAAUAAGCAUCGAUGAAAACUGUGUUGUUUUUAGACCCGAAAAAAACUGUUUUGUUUUCUUUUUCAAUUUUUUUUUUCCCAUUAGGAGCAUGCUUUCAUUAAGGAAAGAAAAACGAAAACAUUACAAAACAGGGCACAAGUUAUCUACUGGAUAAGCAAAGACUACCCGACUAAAACCGCAAACCAGAGAUAAAACAUCCUAACAUUACAACAUGAAUGAAAUCUAAAAACAGAGAAAAGGAUACAGAUAACUUGAUCAAACAACUUAAGCUCACAGGUUAUCUUUAGGCAUCAAACACAAUUUAAACUAGCUCAAAUGAGACUCAACUUAAGCUUAUGAGAAAGUACCUAAAAAUGUUGUACAUUCGAUGCCUGUAUGCAGAAAUGCGUCAAAUUGAGAUAUUCCAGGCGAGCCUCUCUGUUUCUCCUCGUCGUAACAACUGUAAGGCUAUAAACAAUGGCAAACCCCUCAUCUGGAAAUGGCACGCAAAGAAACCUUGCAAAUGAAAAGCUCUCUACGAGAAGGUAUGCUGUCCUGCAAAAGGCUACUAAUUAUUCAGCAUUUGAGACUUAACAACACCAAUUAGAAAUAUAGUAAAUAGAACGAGAUUUUUAUUGAGAACAAUAAUAAUAGAAAUCAGAUUGAAAGUCGUUGUUAAGCACAAAUUGUUUUUUUUCUGGAAAAUGAUUUUAAUCGGAAAAUAACAAGAAACCAGUAAACAGCAGUGCCAAAUGUAAUUGACAAAAAUCUAUGAUAUGUAAAGAAGAUAAUACAAUGAACUUGGGGGCAUAAAAAUAGUAACAAAUAUGCAUCUCGGUUUAUUUGGGGACAUGAAUUUGGGAAAUCCAAUAUAUAUUUGAGUUUUUUUAUAAGAAAAAUAAUAUGUAUUUUGGUAUUUGGAUUCAAUUAGAAGAAAACCAGUUAAGCCAGUUAUUUGAAGUACAUACCUGAGUUUGAUUUGAGAGUUGAGAGUGAAACAUCGGAUGCAAGGAAUGUGUGUGAGAGAGAGAGCUCAUAUCAUAUGAUCACUUCUUUGCCUAUCUUGAUGCAUGGAAUGUGAGAUAUGUCAGCCCAAGCUUUUCCUGUCUUCUUCUUAUACCUUUUUUCCAGGGCAGAACAAUUAGAGAUGCUCAGAAAAGAAAGAGAAGUGAGGUCAUUAAGUCCCUUUGAGUCCAAAGAUUUCAGACUUGAAAGUUGACUGAUCUCGAGGCGUUGAAGAGUUUUAGGGAGCAGCUGUUGCUUGAGCAACGUCUCCAAGAUUUCGUCACUUCCCCUGCCACCAAUUCCAAAUUUUUCAAGGGAGACAAGUCCUUGCAAACCCCAGUACUCUGCCACUGAUGAAGCCCUCAGUCUCUCACAGUUCUCAAUGGUAAAAUAUUGGAGGUUGCGAGGCAAACCCCCAUCUUCUGCAAUUGACUCCAGAUUUGGAAGAUCCCCUAUUUUCAAAUAUCGAAGGCGUGUGAGGGUGUGAAUGCGUUCAGGUAAUGACUUCAACUUCUUGCAAUUGAUGAAUUCCAAUGAAGUCAGGUUGGGAGCGGGCAAUCCUCCCCAGGGAAAACAAACCAGAUUUGGACAGUGUGAGAUAGCGAGACGACUGAGAUUCUCAUCAACUCCUUCUUCUUCAAUCAAGGAAAGGGAUUCCAGAUUCUCACACUCGCUAAAGAAAAGCGACGUCAAUUUGGGAAAAAUGCCCAGCGGGAAGGACCUCAUUGAAUCACAGCUACGGAAUAUCGUCAAAUGCCAGAGCGAUGUUAAUUUGGCCAACAACUCAUGAGGUAAUUCUAAUCUACUACAAAAGUCUAUCACAAGUGAUGUCAACGUAGUGGGUAGCCCAUCUUCAGGGAACGACGACAGGGUUGGACAAUUAAUUAGACUCAAACUUUGAAGACGAUUGAUGUUGGGCAAGCACUGUAUGUCAUUUAAACUCCAAAUCUCAAGUUUGGACAGGAGCUUUGUCUCUAGUAAUGAUAACACACCGCCAAGUGUUUGUUCAGUUUCAAAAAUUCCUCCUCCUAUCAUCAAUUCUUCAAGAGAUUUGUAAUCCAUUUUAACACUAGUAGCAGUAGUGGCCCUUUGAUCAUGUAAAACCCCACACCCUUCCACUGUAAGCUUCUUCAAGCGAGGCAGAUCACAAGUCAAGCUUCCUCUCAGCUUUGGACAAUGCCGUAGUAUGAGCUCCUGGAGACAAGGAAAGUCUACACCUCCACUUCCACUUGGUACCCAUUCCUCCCACUCUGCCAUGUUACAAAACUCCAGCCUCUCCAGUGAUUUAAAUGGCUGAAUUACAGAAGAUCCAGUGCUGCCAUAAAACUCAACACCAAUCUUCUUAACAAGUUUCAUUUUUGUUAUGUAGAGCUCUUUGAGGGUAGGUAGCCGCCCAACCGGUGGCAGCGACGAACAAUUACUACAAUCACUAAUACACAUGACUUGUAUGUUGGACAAGGACGAGCCGCCUAGCCAAUUCGGGAAAUCUUUUCCACCAUACCCACUGAUGGUUAGUUUCUCCAGAUUCACACAAGGCUGGAGCUUCUCAAGUACAUCUUUCUCCUUUUGGGAAUCAUCCGCAUCCUCACCACCCCAUUCCAACUCUAACUCUUUGAGAUCUUUCUUAUCCUUCAAAUUUGCUUGCAAGGCAUCCCUAGUAUCAACUAUAUUUCGUAGCUGCAAAAUUGAAAGUUUUCCUCCAAGAUGUGGAAGCUCCCCCAAUUCUCCAAUAGUCAACCCAGUAGAUUUGCCCACAAUAAAAGCGGACAAUGUUCUCAAGCUUUUCAAUGUACUCAUUUGCCUUGGCAUCUCUACAAUUUUAGUUCCACUGAAGUCAAGAUGAUGCAAAUUAAUUAAUUCACACAUGUCUACAGGCAAUUUAGUAAGAGACUUACAACCUCCCAACAUUAAUUUCUGUAAAUUUAUCAAUUUUCUCAGGUCUGCCGGUAAUUCAACGAGACGAGAACAAUUUGACAAUAAUAAUGUCUGCAAAUUGUAGAGGCUGCAAAGUACACUGGGUAACGUUUCAAUUGCAGUAUCGGAGAGAUCCAAAUAGCGCAAGUGAAUGAGCUUUUUAAUGGAAUCAGGUAACUCAGUGACAUUCUUAUAACAGGACAACGACAACACCCGUAAACAUGUUAGUGAUGGCAACAAAUUAUGCAGAACCUUUUUACUUACAUAAUAACUGUCAACAUACCUAAAAUAUGGUUUUAAAGAGAGAGAUAGAAAGGUACGCAAACACUUAGCCCCUUUUAAUGGCUCAAAUUUAACAGCAACAUCUAAUUCUUCCCUGCUAUAAGACAAAUGGCGAACUCUUUCUACUUCAUGUGAUUCCUUCCCUUCCCACCUGGAGCAAAAUCCUUUAGACAUGAACACCGCCAAGUCAUUGAUGAGAUCAUGCAUGACGAAACUUGAAUUCCCUGACGUUUGAAACAAUGAUCGGGAUAACAGUUCAUCAAAAUAUUCCUUAGCCACUUCUUCCAUGCUGUCCCCAUUCUCCGCUUGGGGAAUUAAACCUUCCGCCAUCCAAAGAAAAACAACAUUUUCUACCUUGAAUUCAUAGUCUUUUGGAAAAAUUGAACAAUAAAUAAAGCAUCGCUUUAACUUAGCUGGAAGAUAAUGAUAACUCAAUCCUAGAGCGGGAAGAAUGUCACUUUUCUCGUAAGGUAAGUCCCAAAUGCUGCUGUUUAGUACUCUGUUCCAUACCUCAGAGUCUGGCCUCGAACGUAACACACCGCCAAGUGUUUGCGCAGCUAAAGGCAACCCAUUGCACUUGCGUGCAAUUUUCUUGCCGAUUUCUUCCAAGCUUGGAUCAGAACUAGAGUUUACAUUUGCAUGUUUUGCAAGUAAGAACCAGCAAUCUUCAUGCGACAAUGGUUUCAAGGUGUGAAUAGGAACAUUUUGCAUGAAAGAUGCUAUAUUUUUGUUCCGUGUUGUUACGAGGACUUUACUUCCCCUUGCCCCUGAAGUAAAAGGAGUUUGGAGGUAGUUCCAAUCAGUAUAUUUCUCAUUCCAAAAGUCAUCCAAUACAAACAAAAAUUUCUUCCCACUCAGUUCUUCACUUAGCUUAACUUGAAGCAAAUUCAGAUCUGUCAGAAGAGUAAUUUGAUUCAGAUCUGUCUUAUUACAAGGUUCUGAAGUCACUGACUCGAGAAGAGUAAUUUGCUUCAGAUCUGUCUUAUUACAAGGUUCUAAAGUCACCGACUGGAGAAGAGUUUUAGUUACCCUGAUAGCAUCAUAAUCUUCUGAAACACAAGCCCAAGCCUUAAGGGUAAAAUGCUCUUUCACCUUAUUGUCAUUGUAAAGCAUUCGAGCAAGGGUUGUC
rnacentral:lncRNA from 1 species